rnacentral:rRNA from 1 species
UACGUAGGGGCCGAGCGUUGUCCGGAAUUACUGGGCGUAAAGUGUGCGCAGGUGGCCGCGCAAGUCGAGUGUGAAAUCCCCGAGCUUAACUUGGGAAUUGCGCUCGAAACUACGUGGCUCGAGUGUGGCAGAGGAAGGUGGAAUUCCACGUGUAGCGGUGAAAUGCGUAGAGAUGUGGAGGAACACCGAUGGCGAAGGCAGCCUUCUGGGUCAACACUGACGCUCAUGCACGAAAGCGUGGGGAGCAAACAGG